AGUGAACGCUGGCGGUAGGCCUAACACAUGCGAGUCGAACGGCAGCACAGUAAGAGCUUGCUCUUACGGGUGGCGAGUGGCGGACGGGUGAGGAAUACAUCGGAAUCUACUUUUUCGUGGGGGAUAACGUAGGGAAACUUACGCUAAUACAGCAUACGACCUACGGGUGAAAGCAGGGGAUCUUCGGACCUUGCGCGAUUGAAUGAGCCGAUGUCGGAUUAGCUAGUUGGCGGGGUAAAGGCCCACCAAGGCGACGAUCCGUAGCUGGACUGAGAGGAUGUUCAGCCACACUGGAACUGGGACACGGUCCAGACUCCUACGGGAGGCAGCAGUGGGGAAUAUUGGACAAUGGGCGCAAGCCUGAUCCAGCCAUACCGCGUGGGUGAAGAAGGCCUUCGGGUUGUAAAGCCCUUUUGUUGGGAAAGAAAAGCAGCAGGUUAAUACCCCGCUGUUCUGACGGUACCCAAAGAAUAAGCACCGGCUAACUUCGUG
rnacentral:rRNA from 1 species